rnacentral:rRNA from 1 species
GAUGAACGCUGGCGGCGUGCCUAAUACAUGCAAGUCGAGCGAACGGACGAGAAGCUUGCUUCUCUGAUGUUAGCGGCGGACGGGUGAGUAACACGUGGAUAACCUACCUAUAAGACUGGGAUAACUUCGGGAAACCGGAGCUAAUACCGGAUAAUAUUUUGAACCGCAUGGUUCAAAAGUGAAAGACGGUCUUGCUGUCACUUAUAGAUGGAUCCGCGCUGCAUUAGCUAGUUGGUAAGGUAACGGCUUACCAAGGCAACGAUGCAUAGCCGACCUGAGAGGGUGAUCGGCCACACUGGAACUGAGACACGGUCCAGACUCCUACGGGAGGCAGCAGUAGGGAAUCUUCCGCAAUGGGCGAAAGCCUGACGGAGCAACGCCGCGUGAGUGAUGAAGGUCUUCGGAUCGUAAAACUCUGUUAUUAGGGAAGAACAUAUGUGUAAGUAACUGUGCACAUCUUGACGGUACCUAAUCAGAAAGCCACGGCUAACUACGUGCCAGCAGCCGCGGUAAUACGUAGGUGGCAAGCGUUAUCCGGAAUUAUUGGGCGUAAAGCGCGCGUAGGCGGUUUUUUAAGUCUGAUGUGAAAGCCCACGGCUCAACCGUGGAGGGUCAUUGGAAACUGGAAAACUUGAGUGCAGAAGAGGAAAGUGGAAUUCCAUGUGUAGCGGUGAAAUGCGCAGAGAUAUGGAGGAACACCAGUGGCGAAGGCGACUUUCUGGUCUGUAACUGACGCUGAUGUGCGAAAGCGUGGGGAUCAAACAGGAUUAGAUACCCUGGUAGUCCACGCCGUAAACGAUGAGUGCUAAGUGUUAGGGGGUUUCCGCCCCUUAGUGCUGCAGCUAACGCAUUAAGCACUCCGCCUGGGGAGUACGACCGCAAGGUUGAAACUCAAAGGAAUUGACGGGGACCCGCACAAGCGGUGGAGCGUGUGGUUUAAUUCGAAGCAACGCGAAGAACCUUACCAAAUCUUGACAUCCUUUGACAACUCUAGAGAUAGAGCCUUCCCCUUCGGGGGACAAAGUGACAGGUGGUGCAUGGUUGUCGCCAGCUCGUGUCGUGAGAUGUUGGGUUAAGUCCCGCAACGAGCGCAACCCUUAAGCUUAGUUGCCAUCAUUAAGUUGGGCACUCUAAGUUGACUGCCGGUGACAAACCGGAGGAAGGUGGGGAUGACGUCAAAUCAUCAUGCCCCUUAUGAUUUGGGCUACACACGUGCUACAAUGGACAAUACAAAGGGCAGCGAAACCGCGAGGUCAAGCAAAUCCCAUAAAGUUGUUCUCAGUUCGGAUUGUAGUCUGCAACUCGACUACAUGAAGCUGGAAUCGCUAGUAAUCGUAGAUCAGCAUGCUACGGUGAAUACGUUCCCGGGUCU